ACGCUCGACACCUACGGGAGGCAGCAGUUGGGAAUAUUGGACAAUGGAGGAAACUCUGAUCCAGUGACGCCGCCGUGAAGGAAGAAGGUCUUCGGAUUGUAAACUUAUUUUGUCAGGGAAGAAAAAUGACUGUACCUGAAGAAAAAGCACCGGCUAACUACGUGCCGGCAGCCGCGGUAAUCUGAGCGGGCUGGCAAGGC
rnacentral:rRNA from 1 species